rnacentral:rRNA from 1 species
CCUACGCGAUGCAGCAGUGGGGAAUAUUGCACAAUGGGGGAAACCCUGAUGCAGCGACGCCGCGUGAGUGAAGAAGUAUUUCGGUAUGGAAAGCUCUAUCAGCAGGGAAGUUAAUGACGGUACCUGAGUAAGAAGCCACGGCUAACUACGUGCCAGCUGCCGUGGUAAUACGUAGGGGGCAAGCGUUAUCCGGAUUUACUGGGUGUAAAGGGAGCGUAGACGGCAUGGCAAGUCUGAAGUGAAAGCGCGGGGCUCAACCGCGGGACUGCUUUGGAAACGGUUAAGCUGGAGUGCAGGAGAGGUAAGUGGAAUUCGUGGUGUAGCGGUGAAAUGCGUAGAUAUUAGGAGGAACACCAGUGGCGAAGGCGGCUUACUGAACUGUAACUGACGUUGAGGCUCGAAAGCGUGGGGAGCAAACAGGAUUAGAUACCCUAGUAGUC